UACAGAGGGGGCCAGCGUUAUUCGGAAUUACUGGGCGUAAAGGGCUCGUAGGCGGCCAACUAAGUCAGACGUGAAAUCCCUCGGCUUAACCGGGGAACUGCCUCUGAUACUGGAUGGCUUGAGAUUGGGAGAGGGAUGCGGAAUUCCAGGUGUAGCGGUGAAAUGCGUAGAUAUCUGGAGGAACACCGGUGGCGAAGGCGGCAUCCUGGACCAACACUGACGCUGAGGAGCGAAAGCCAGGGGAGCAAACGGG
rnacentral:rRNA from 1 species